rnacentral:rRNA from 1 species
CCUACGGGUGGCAGCAGUGAGGAAUAUUGGUCAAUGGGCGCGAGCCUGAACCAGCCAAGUAGCGUGAAGGAUGACUGCCCUACGGGUUGUAAACCUCUUUUAUCAAGGAAUAAAGUGAGGCACGUGUGCCUUUUUGUAUGUACUUUAUGAAUAAGGAUCGGCUAACUCCGUGCCAGCAGCCGCGGUAAUACGGAGGAUCCGAGCGUUAUCCGGAUUUAUUGGGUUUAAAGGGAGCGGAGAUGGGUGGUGAAGUCAGGUGUGAAAAUUUGCGGCUCAACCGUAAAAUUGCAGUUGAUACUGGAUGCCUUGAGUGCGCGUGAGGUAGGCGGAAUGCGUGGUGUAGCGGUGAAAUGCAUAGAUAUCACGCAGAACUCCGAUUGCGAAGGCAGCAUAC